UACGUAGGUGGCGAGCGUUGUCCGGAAUUACUGGGUGUAAAGGGAGCGUAGGCGGGAGAGCAAGUCGACUGUGAAAUCUAUGGGCUUAACCCAUAGCUGCGAUCGAAACUGUUCAUCUUGAGUGAAGUAGAGGCAGGCGGAAUUCCUAGUGUAGCGGUGAAAUGCGUAAAUAUUAGGAGGAACACCAGUGGCGAAGGCGGCUUACUGGACUGUAACUGACGUUGAGGCUCGAAAGCGUGGGGAGCAAACAGG
rnacentral:rRNA from 1 species